rnacentral:tRNA from 1 species
GCCCUGGUCGUCUAGCCCGGUCAAGGAUAGAGCCCUCUCGAAACAAACUUUUUAUAAAAAGGUUUGAACAAAAAUUCAGGAGAAAGGCUCUGACGCGAGUUCGAAUCUCGCCCGGGGCG